UACGUAGGUGGCUAGCGUUGUCCGGAUUUACUGGGCGUAAAGAGCGCGCAGGCGGUCGUUCAAGUCGAGUGUGAAAGCCCCCGGCUCAACUGGGAGGGUCACUCGAUACUGAUCGACUCGAAGGCAGGAGAGGGAAGCGGAAUUCCCGGUGUAGUGGUGAAAUGCGUAGAUAUCGGGAGGAACACCAGUGGCGAAGGCGG
rnacentral:rRNA from 1 species